UCCAUGAUAUAACUUUAUUGGUCUUGAAGGUAAUAAAAUAUCAGCAUUUGACUAACUUCUAUAAUCUAGAGGUUCAACUUGCAAUUGCUGAAGCCAAAAAGGAGCUCCUGGAGAUGCAUCACACCUUUAUAUUUCAAGCUGGGGAGCAGUAGUAUGCUGAAUUUGUAGCACAUGCUAUGUUGUUGGAAUCUGAGAUUCAGACUGCUGCUCCAAAUCAACUGCUGGACUGCUUAAGCCACUGCUUCAAAUUUGGCACUAGUACUGGAGAUGAUGUUCAUCGUAAGCUUUCAAAGGGAGGUUUGAUUAUCAAUGAUUCUCCUAAGCGACAACUCUAUUGUAAAUGUUGCUCGAUGGUCUGGAGCUACUAUUUACGUUUUUCAACAUAACAGUGAAGGUUUUGAAAAAACAUAAUUACGAGGGACAAUCCAUAACACACGCGCCAUGGAAGAAUAUAAUUGUUAAUUAUGAGGCUAUAAAGAACAUUAUUGGACUUCAGGAAAUAGUUGUAUGUUUCUUCAUUGUGUUUCCUUAUUACU